rnacentral:tRNA from 1 species
UGAUCUGCGGCUUAAUUGAUCAAAGCGUUGGUAUGGCCAAUACACAGUUGUGGGUUCAAAUCCCACCAGAACGC